rnacentral:rRNA from 1 species
GAAUAGGAACCUAACAAGGAUUCCCCUAGUAACGGCGAGUGAAGCGGGAAGAGCUCAAAUUUGAAAGCUGGUACCUUCGGUGCCCGCGUUGUAAUCUCGAGAAGUGUUUUCCGUGCUGGACCAUGUACAAGUUCCUUGGAAUAGGACGUCAUAGAGGGUGAAAAUCCCGUACUUGACAUGGAUGCCCAGUGCUUUGUGAUACACUCUCCACGAGUCGAGUUGUUUGGGAAUGCAGCUCAAAAUGGGUGGUAAAUUCCAUCUAAAGCUAAAUAUUGGGGAGAGACCGAUAGCGAACAAGUACCGUGAGGGAAAGAUGAAAAGCACUUUGGAAAGAGAGUUAAACAGUACGUGAAAUUGUCGAAAGGGAAGCGCUUAAAGUUAGACAUGCCUAUUGGGAUUCAGCCUUGCUUUUGCUUGGUGUAUUUCCCGGUGAGCAGGCCAGCAUCAGUUUCGGCUGUCGGAUAAGGGUUAGAGGAAUGUGGCCCCUCGGGGUGUUAUAGCCUUUAACUGGAUACGGCGGCUGGGACUGAGGAACGCAGCGUGCCUUUAUGGCGGGCCUUCGGGCACCUUCACGCUUAGGAUGCUGGCGUAAUGGCUUUAAGCGACCCGUCUUGAAACACGGACCGAGGAGUCUAACAUGUCUGCGAGUCUUUGGGUGGCAAACCCAUAGGCGCAAUGAAAGUGAAUGCAUGUGGGAUCCUCACGGAGCACCAUCGACCGAUCCGGAUUUUCUAUGAUGGAUUUGAGUAAGAGCAUAAUAUUGUUU